CGGACGGGUGAGUAACGCGUGAGAAUCUGCCUCCAGGUCGGGGACAACAGCGGGAAACUGCUGCUAAUCCCGGAUAAGCCCUAGGGUAAAAGAUUUAUUGCCUGGAGAGGAGCUCGCGUCCGAUUAGCUAGAUGGUGAAGUAAGAGCUCACCAUGGCGACGAUCGGUAGCUGUUCUGAGAGGAAGAUCAGCCACACUGGGACUGAGACACGGCCCAGACUCCUACGGGAGGCAGCAGUGGGGAAUUUUCCGCAAUGGGCGAAAGCCUGACGGAGCAAGACCGCGUGCGGGAAGAAGGCCCUUGGGUCGUAAACCGCUUUUCUUAGGGAAGAAGCUCUGACGGUACCUAAGGAAUCAGCCUCGGCUAACUCCGUGCCAGCAGCCGCGGUAAUACGGAGGAGGCAAGCGUUAUCCGGAAUUAUUGGGCGUAAAGCGUCCGCAGGCGGCUUAUCAAGUCUGCUGUCAAAGACUGGGGCUCAACCCUGGGGAGGCAGUGGAAACUGAGAAGCUAGAGUGCAGUAGGGGUAGAGGGAAUUCCCAGUGUAGCGGUGAAAUGCGUAGAGAUUGGGAAGAACACCGGUGGCGAAAGCGCUCUACUGGGCUGUAACUGACGCUGAGGGACGAAAGCUAGGGGAGCGAAAGGGAUUAGAUACCCCUGUAG
rnacentral:rRNA from 1 species